GAUGAACGCUGGCGGCGUGCCUAAUACAUGCAAGUCGAGCGAAUGGAUUAAGAGCUUGCUCUUAUGAAGUUAGCGGCGGACGGGUGAGUAACACGUGGGUAACCUGCCCAUAAGACUGGGAUAACUCCGGGAAACCGGGGCUAAUACCGGAUAACAUUUUGAACCGCAUGGUUCGAAAUUGAAAGGCGGCUUCGGCUGUCACUUAUGGAUGGACCCGCGUCGCAUUAGCUAGUUGGUGAGGUAACGGCUCACCAAGGCAACGAUGCGUAGCCGACCUGGGAGGGUGAUCGGCCACACUGGGACUGAGACACGGCCCAGACUCCUACGGGAGGCAGUAGUAGGGAAUCUUCCGCAAUGGACGAAAGUCUGACGGAGCAACGCCGCGUGAGUGAUGAAGGCUUUCGGGUCGUAAAACUCUGUUGUUAGGGAAGAACAAGUGCUAGUUGAAUAAGCUGGCACCUUGGCGGUACCUAACCAGAAAGCCACGGCUAACUACGUGCCAGCAGCAGCCGCAG
rnacentral:rRNA from 1 species